rnacentral:rRNA from 1 species
GUCUAUGGCCAUGCCACCCUGAACAAGCCUAAUCUCGUCUGAUCUUGUGAAGCUAAGCAGGGUCGGGCCUGGUUAGUACUUGGAUGGGAGACCAGGUUCAGUAGGUG